rnacentral:rRNA from 2 species
ACGGGGUGCAGCAGGCGCGAAACCUUUGCAAUGUGCGAAAGCACGACAAGGUUAAUCCGAGUGUCUCCCGCUAAGGGAGUCUUUUGUCAGUUCUAGAACCACUGGUGAAUAAGGGGUGGGCAAGUUCUGGUGUCAGCCGCCGCGGUAAAACCAGCACCUCAAGUGGUCAGGAUGAUUAUUGGGCCUAAAGCAUCCGUAGCCGGUUGCAUAAGUUUUCGGUUAAAUCUAUGCGCUCAACGUAUAGGCCGCCGAAAAUACUGUGCAGCUAGGGAGUGGGAGAGGUACACGGUACUCAAUAGGAAGGGGUAAAAUCCUUUGAUCUAUUGAUGACCACCUGUGGCGAAGGCGGCCUACCAGAACACGUUCGACGGUGAGGGAUGAAAGCUGGGGGAGCAAACCGGAUUAGAUACCCGGGUAGUCCCAGCUGUAAACUAUGCAAACUCAGUGAUGCAUUGGCUUGUGGCCAAUGCAGUGCUGCAGGGAAGCCGUUAAGUUUGCCGCCUGGGAAGUACGUACGCAAGUAUGAAACUUAAAGGAAUUGGCGGGGGAGCAC